AUUGAACGCUGGCGGCAUGCCUUACACAUGCAAGUCGAACGGCAGCACGGGAGCAAUCCUGGUGGCGAGUGGCGAACGGGUGAGUAAUAUAUCGGAACGUGCCCAAUCGUGGGGGAUAACGUAGCGAAAGCUACGCUAAUACCGCAUACGAUCUAUGGAUGAAAGCGGGGGAUCGCAAGACCUCGCGCGAUUGGAGCGGCCGAUAUCAGAUUAGGUAGUUGGUGGGUAAAAGCCUACCAAGCCUUCGAUCUGUAGCUGGUCUGAGAGGACGACCAGCCACACUGGAACUGAGACACGGUCCAGACUCCUACGGGAGGCAGCAGUGGGGAAUUUUGGACAAUGGGCGCAAGCCUGAUCCAGCAAUGCCGCGUGCAGGAUGAAGGCCUUCGGGUUGUAAACUGCUUUUGUACGGAACGAAACGGUUCUUUCUAAUAAAGAGGGCUAAUGACGGUACCGUAAGAAUAAGCACCGGCUAACUACGUGCCAGCAGACCG
rnacentral:rRNA from 1 species